rnacentral:rRNA from 1 species
UACGUAGGUGACAAGCGUUGUCCGGAUUUACUGGGCGUAAAGAGCGCGCAGGCGGUCGAUCAAGUCGAGUGUGAAAGCCCCCGGCUCAACUGGGGAGGGUCAUUCGAUACUGAUCGACUCGAAGGCAGGAGAGGGUAGUGGAAUUCCCGGUGUAGUGGUGAAAUGCGUAGAUAUCGGGAGGAACACCAGUGGCGAAGGCGGCUAUCUGGACAACAACUGACACUGAGGCACGAAAGCGUGGGGAGCGAACAGG